rnacentral:rRNA from 1 species
AUACGGAGGGGGCUAGCGUUGUUCGGAAUUACUGGGCGUAAAGCGUACGUAGGCGGACUGAUCAGUUGGGGGUGAAAUCCCAGGGCUUAACCCUGGAACUGCCUUCAAUACUGUCAGUCUUGAGUUUGGGAGAGGUGAGUGGAAUUCCUAGUGUAGAGGUGAAAUUCAUAGAUAUUAGGAGGAGCACCAGCGGCGAAGGCGGCUCACUGGCCCAUUACUGACGCUGAGGUACGAAAGCGUGGGGAGCAAACAGGAUUAGAAACCCUAGUAGUCC